rnacentral:lncRNA from 1 species
GCCAGGAAAUCCUUCCAGGCCUGAAAAGCGCCGCCAUAGCCCGCGCAGGGUGAGGCCUCCGCCACGGGAAGGUUUUGGGGCUCAGGAUGGGGUCGGUGCUGUAAAAGGGGCUCUGGUUUUGGGGCGAAAACGGGUGCGGGAGGGUCCGUGGGAUGCCCGCGGUGCCGUCCCGCAGCGCCUGCUCCUGUCUCUCCGCAGCGUUCCUGCCAAGGAGGAGGUCCCCGUCCCCGUCCCCAUCCCUGUCCCCGUCCCCGACAGGGAGCCCCCCGUCCCCCCGUCCCCUCCAGCCCUGCUGCCCCGUGCCAAGCCGCAGCCGGCCCCGCAGCCCCAGCCGCCCUCCGAGCCCUCCUGUCCCUUCGUGCCCGAGUUCGAUGACUCUGACUACGAGGACCCCGCCUGGGAGGAGGAAUUAGCCAGCCCCGCGGGGCAGAUGGCCGACAAGGUUGGUGUGGGUGCUGGAAGGGGCUGUGGGAGGCGAGCAGGGGGCGUGCAGGGACACCCCCAUGGUGGUGCUGGUCCUGGGUGGGUUUUUGGGCACGGCUUGGGGUCGGGGCGGAGGGGCAGGGUGCUCUGCGAGCCCACUGCUUCACCCAAAUGCAGCCUCCCUGUGGGCUGGCGUGCACAGAGUGCGUGCUAGUGGACGGCUGCAGCAUCGCAGCCAACAUUGAUUGCCUGGAUUUGGGAUUUUUAUCCACCACGCGCUGAACUCCUGCGGGUCUGGGCUGAUUUUGGGGGCUGCGGCGCGCUGAGCACCUGGAGCCCUCACCAUCCUUUUCCUGGCGAUGUGCACUGCCUUCCCCUGGCCCCAACCGUGCCACCCCCUGCCCGGGGGGGUUAUCCAGGACCAUCCAGAAGCACCACGGCACCUCGCAGAGCCUCGGGCACUGCUGGAAGCUUCAAAAAGGGAGCGAUGCAGGCGGUGCCGCCGCAUUUUGCGCCCUCUUUCCCUGCCUCUCCAUGGGCAUCCCUAGCUGGUGGUGGUGCUGCGAGCUGCGGGGGGUGCUCAGCACCCUGCUGGGUGCAGGGGGUGGCCGGAGGGGCUCAGCCCCCCCCACCAAAACGCCCUGGUGUGGAGCAGGGAGGGUGCAGGGCUGCCGGUGUCACCCCCGUGUGUCCCCGCAGGAGGAUGCUGAGGCCGUGACGGGUCGGCCGCGGUCCCUGCGCUUCAACAGCCUCUUCAGCGAGGACGAGCUCAUCGAGGACUACUACGAUGCUCCCCCGGCCAAGUAGGGGCUCCUCCUGCCGCUCCUCGUGUGCGUGUUCACGUCUGCCUGCCUGCGGCCGUGCCAGCGUGCGCGGGCAGGGGCCGUG